rnacentral:rRNA from 1 species
AUGGACGCAGUCUGAUGGAGCACGCCGCGUGAGUGAAGAAGGUUUUCGGAUCGUAAAGCUCUGUUGUUGGUGAAGAAGGAUAGAGGUAGUAACUGGCCUUUAUUUGAACGGUAAUCAACCAGAAAGUCACGGCUAACUACGUGCCAGCAGCCGCG